rnacentral:rRNA from 1 species
AGUGAACGCUGGCGGUAGGCCUAACACAUGCAAGUCGAACGGCAGCACAGAGGAGCUUGCUCCUUGGGUGGCGAGUGGCGGACGGGUGAGGAAUACAUCGGAAUCUACUCUGUCGUGGGGGAUAACGUAGGGAAACUUACGCUAAUACCGCAUACGACCUACGGGUGAAAGCAGGGGAUCUUCGGACCUUGCGCGAUUGAAUGAGCCGAUGUCGGAUUAGCUAGUUGGCGGGGUAAAGGCCCACCAAGGCGACGAUCCGUAGGUGGUCUGAGAGGAUGAUAAGCCACACUGGAACGGAGGCACGGUCCAGACUCCUACGGGAGGCAGCAGUGGGGAAUAUUGGACAAUGGGCGCAAGCCUGAUCCAGCCAUACCGCGUGGGUGAAGAAGGCCUUCGGGUUGUAAAGCCCUUUUGUUGGGAAAGAAAUCCAUCUGGUUAAUACCCGGAUGGGAUGACGGUACCCAAAGAAUAAGCACCGGCUAACUUCGUGCCAGCCGCCGCGGUAA